GUGAAAGGCGCAAUACACAUGUAAUCUUGUUGUUGUAGAUUAGCACGGCCCCCCGCACAAGGAUGACGUGCAAAUUCGUGAAACUUUCCAUAUUUUU
rnacentral:snRNA from 1 species